GCUUUGUAUUACAGAUACCUUUGGCGAACAGAAAAUUCAGCACGGAGAGUGUAUUGCUGGCAGCACACCAGAGCUGUAUUUAGUGAAAAAAAAACAAACAAAACAUUUAAAACGUGCUCAUUCUCAGUAUCGAUGAAUCUAACACGUGAAAAAUGGCUCACGCAGCUAUGUUCUAGACUUAACUCUCAACACAACACAGGAGGAGCAAAGGGAGGGGAGAGUUUGUUUUCCCGGUCGGUCUAUUGCAAGCCACGAAAGCCUACUUUCACUCCAUCACAGGCAGAAUGACAGUUGACGUGGUGAAAUUUACGUGGAAGGUCAGCAGAUUUACGGGCGCCACGUUCACCCGCACAAUCACAAAUAAAAUCAAACGCAAGCCGAGCAAUGAGUUAACAAGAGACAGGGAGAAAAUUGGAAAAUGUCAGACAAGGUGCAGCAGAAGAAUGAAUUUGUCCAAGUGUGUGCGCGCGCAUGUGUGUGUGUGUGUUUGUGUGUGUGAUAACUAGAUAGAAGUGGAGAGACAUUUUCCCGCUCUGUGUCCAGUUGUAUGAAGCAAAAAAGGCAUGAAGGGACAGAACGAGGAGGAAGAAAGAACGAAACAGAGUGACGGGGCGAAAGCUUGUGACAGGCGAGAAGCCGUGCACGAAAGAGUGACAGAGCAAAAAAGGGUCAAGGAAUGAGAAAGUGAGAAAGACAUAAUGUGUGUGUGUGAGAGAGAGAGAGAGAGAGAGCGAGAAAGUGAUGGAGGCUCGGAUGGUGUCAGGGACUGUGUGUCCUGUGCCAGGCUGGAAUAAAGUGUCCGUGUCGAAGGCCCGAGCUUCCCCAGGGCUGCGCUGAUUAAUUGAGCUGUCCGAGCCCUCUGAUGGCGGCUCCUUUACGUAGAGCUCCUGGGAAACUCACCCGGCUUCCAUCAGAAAAGAGGGGGGAAAUCAUCUUUUUCCCCAUGCUAAAAUUAGAAACUUUCUCGCUAUGUUCUUACAUCAGCAUGCGCUUCACCUUGCCGGAAGGGUUUAAUGAUCAUCUGAGAGAGAAAGAGAGAGAGAGACAAUUGGACAGACAAAACGCCGUGCAACUUGGACACAUCCCCCUCCUUCCUCCGUCACUCACCACACUCGGUGUGCGGUGGCCGAAGAUGAAGCGCUGCUGUCUCAGGUAAAUGGCCACCAGAGGUCAAAAAUGGUGCAGUGUUGACUCCGGGCAAAAGCUCAGCUAUUUUAUUAUGCCUGACCUAACUUUAGACUAUCUAGCCUUUUCAUUUCUGUCAGGUAGGGGUCCGGAAUCAAGUGAAAUGUGUGAGAGUCGGGCUGGUUGGAUUUUGUUCUGUUUUAUAGAAAUAAGGUGUGCUCACUUCACCUCUAAUCCCAAUCUGGUCCUUUUGUAACGUCGCGUACACAUUGUGAGGUUUUCGAAAAACAUGGAAGCAUGAGACCAUCUUCCCAUUCCAAAAUGAUCUAAAGUAACCCCAGGUCUUGGACGCAUAGGGGAAAUUUGUUGGCCUGAAGAGUUGGUUAGCACGAUUGUCUCAUACCUCCGGGGUCGGGGGUUCGAACCCCAUCUCCGCCCUGUGUGCGCGGAGUUUGCAUGUUUUCUCCGGGUACUCCGGUUUCCUCCCCCAGUCUAAAAACAUUUCCUGUAGGCUGAUUUCUGACUAAUUUCCAAAUUGUCCGUAGUGUGUCAAUGUGUGUGCGAUUGUACCCUGCGAUGGGUUGGCACCCCGUCCACGGCGUCCCCUGCCUCGUGCUCCGAGCUCCCUGGGAUAGGCUCCCCGCGACCCUGAGUAGAACAAUGGAUGGAUGGAUGGACGUGAUCUUGCCUACGUAGUGCAUUACAGCGCCUGCUUCCCUUUCCUUGCACUCGAACCAGGUAUAAGUGUUCUGUAUCACACCCAGUCACUUCUCAAGGACGUUUCUCCCUCUCGUUCUCUUUCUCUCGCGCCCUCGCUCUUUUUAUCUGUCCUGAGCAGUGGUAUUUCUGUCCUGCUGCAAGGUGACUGCUUGUUCCUGCUUAUUCAAGCUCCAUGUACUGCAUUUCAGCCAGUGCGGGGUUUCUUUUGGUGCUCUUUUCAUAUUUUUUUUUUGUGGUGGUUUUUGCUCGUUUAACCUUUCUCAUUCCCAUACUGCCACCUUUCCGCUGUCCUUUUGCACGAGCGGCUCAUUUGUAACCGGCCACAUGCACGAAAGCAUGAAAUUCAGCAAGACGCACAAUGACAAGUUCUCUCGGGCUUGAAUGCAAAUGCUUACAUAUGCAACAUGAGGUGGAGAAAACACACACACCCACACACACACACACACAGAGAGAACACAACUAAUUAAAGCAAUGCUUUCAUGUCAACUGUCUACUCAGCCAUUUGACUGGACUCCACAUAUUUAUUCAUCUGCACACUGAGAUGAAUCCGGAGCGGCGCGGCGGUCUCCUCGGAGCAGUCAAUAUCGCUCAAAGCAGCGCUGUAAUUACACUCAAAUGCAGCUUAGCUAUAAAUACUUUAAAAAAGGAUUACGGAAAGAAUGUGCAGAAAACACAGAAAUCAUUCUUUCUGCACAACUCGCAAGAGAACGAGCGAAAACAAAAAAAAAGAAAACCCCAAAACACCAUGAAAUGCUCCAGGAGAGGACGGGCUCUGCAUUUCCUCUCCACGUUCCAGCCUGUUAUUACUCUUUUAUUUGUUAACUCUACAAUUCAGGAGCUGAGAAGAAAAAAAGAAAAAAAAAAGGAACAGAAACAUAAAGUACAACAACUCACUCAGAUGUCAACGACUUCAGAGAGAAGAAGCAGGAAAAAAAAAAGGGCGCAAAGAGACAAUUAACGAAGUUAUAAUUCGUACGUCGUGGUAAUGAGCGUGUCUUAGUGAGGAUUAGGAUGAUGGGCAUUGUUGUCGUUAUUCCUCUCUAUUGUAGCACGCACAAAGCCAGGGAUGAAAGAAGACUGAGGAGGAGGAAAGAACCAGAAGAGCCGCAAAAUACCGUGUUGGACGAGUGACGCUGUCAGUCACAAUCUCUCUUCAGUCAUGCUAGACAAAUCCUCAGCAUGCUGCUCGGCGAACGCUACGGCGUUGUUUUUAAUUGUAGCCUGACAAAAGCUGUCUCGAAUUCACCGCUGAGGCACAAAAGCAGCUCUCAGACUUCAUCUUCACGGACGUUUGAGCAGCACUUUGGUAAGAUGAGUCACAGGCCAGCGUGCUCAGAACGACUGUACGGUGCGGUGCGAGCUCGGGCCCCGAACAAUAGCCGUCGAGGGUUUAGCAUUGAUUGGCAUCGCGCUGUUUGUUGCCUUUGUGUCAGUCUUCACCACCUUCCAGUCAACACUGCCGGCUACGUUAUUAUCCAACAAGUCUGUUUAUUUCCAGUUACAGCAGCAAACACUGGCACUGUUUUUUUUUUUCUAUGAAAAUAUCUUGUUACCAAGCACAAGUCAGGGAGAUAUUCAUUUUGAAUACUUGACUGCUCACUAAUAGCUCAGGUUUUUGGCUAAUCGUUGGGUUUUGGGUUCAAACCUACAUUAUUGUUAGCCCCAAUCGGUCUCUUGGUUAAAUUGAGUAAUCUGCAAUGGUAUUUUGCUAACCAAUGAAAAUCACAACCAAAUACCAUAUCAUCCAUCCAUCCAGCCGUCAUGUCUGCUGCUCAUCAUGUUGGAGAUUGUUAUGUUGCUGGUCAUCAUGUUGGUAGUCUUCAUGUUGCUGUUUGCCAGGUUGUGGGUAGUCACACUGGGGGUCAUCUUGUUGCUGGUCAUUACCUUGGUAGCCGUUAUGUCGCUAAUAAUCAUGCUGUUCGUCAGCAUGCCACUGAUCGGCAGGUUGUGGGUAGUCACGCUUGUGGGUCAUCAAGUUGCUGGUCGUCAUGUUGGUAGUUGCAAUAUUGCUGGUUGUUAUGUGGUAGUCGUCAGGUUGCUGGUCACCAUGUUGGUAGUCAUCAUGUUGCUGGUCAUCAUGUUGGUAGUCAUCAUGUCGGUAGUCAUCGUUCUACUGGUUGCCAGGUUGUGGGAAGUCACGCUGUGGGUCAUUAUGUAGCGGGUCAUCAUGUUGCAGGUCUCCAUACUGCAAAGUGUCAUGUUGUUGGUCAGCAUGUUCUGGUCGUCAUGUUUUGCGGGUCACUGUGUCACUGGUCAGGGUGUUGCUGCUUGUCAGAACUGUUGCUGUAUUUAAAGUAAUGCUCACCUGUCGCUUUCUCACUUGUUAGCAAAUCUGCCAGUUCAAAUUUUGGUUAGUGCACUGGACGCUCGGCCCGGGUAAAUUUCAUUCCUAAGGUUCUACUUGGGCAAAAUGUCUACUCGGAGCCUUUGGAAUCAAUCCCGCCGUUAUUACACCAGCCCUGCUCGCUAGCAGUCAAUCAGGAGGCCGGAUCAGAUUAGAUUUUCGUUUUUUUUUUUUUAAUGCUUAUGGCUGGUGCGAUAGCGAGCUUGCUAAUAAAACCCGGACAGUUCAGCAAGCUAGGCAGAUUGCCGGUAAACGUUCAAAUGGACUAACCCUUGUGUACACAUAAGACUUCAUGUAUUACUACUGAAUUAGUUUGAAGAUGUUGAUUCUUAAAUUGAGCGUAACAUUAAAAAUGCUAAUUUACAUUACACUGCUGAGUAUUUUUUUUCCACUUCCAAUCUGAUGAUGCCCGUUUGUAUAAAUGACUGUGGUUUCCCUCUAAAGUGCUGCACAUGAAAGUUCUGGUUUUACUGAUUCCCUUAGGCCCAGCUCGGAGAUAAAGUCAAAUCAGAUCAGCAGCAGGAUCACCGGAUAAGCGCUGUUUACUGCUACUGGCCCAUGGUCACAUGUCGUAUAUGAAUAUAGCACAAGUGUGGAAUGUGAGAGAUCAACAGAUCGCACACACAGCGCAGAACAGCGCAGCAGGUGCACAUAACAGCAUAUGACAGUCGGGAAAUAUCUCACUCUGACACACCCACAUAGAGCAGUGGGCGGGGAGAGCUUCCCGAUUUCCCCAUUAAGACAUUUCACACUUAACACGAGCUAUACUUGUAACGCUGUGACACUCGGCGUCUCCUGAUGAAUAGCCGUGUAAUGAAAGCAGCACAGACGAUGCAAAGAUAAAACGAGAAGAAGGAAAUAUGGUAUGAGACUGAGGAGGUUAAACAUGUGAUAUCAAUUUCAAUUUCUCUGUUUUGGAGCGACCCAAAUGUACGAAAACAGAAUUUCCACAAAAAAAAAAAACUAAAUAAACAGACAAGUACAUAAAUAAACAAACAAAUAAAUAAGUAAAUAGGGAAAUAUCUUUUUUUUUUUAAAAUACAUUUAAUAAAUGACUAAUAAAUCCUAACCCAGAGUUUUACGAACAUUUGUUUAAACGUCUGUGAUGUAAUGGGUCACAUGACCAGGCACAUUUACCUCGUGCGCUUGAGUAAGAAGACAUCAGUUUUUAACUCUGCAGAAGCACGUAAAAGUCUCUAUAAUAGCGCUACAACUGCGCCAUCUGGCACGUAUUCCACAGUGCUGUUGAAUUCUCGACUGAUUGGUCAGAAGGCUGUUGAUUCAUUUUGUAAAACAGCAGCUCUGACUGUAGCGCAGAUAAAAAUCGGAGGUUUCUAUGAACGCGCGCCGCAUAAACAGAUAAAAGCACAUGUAAUCACUAGCUGCGUUUACAUGGACAACAAUAAUCCACUCUUAAUCCGAUUAAGACCAUACUCUGAUUAAGAAACUACCAUGUAAACAGCAAUUUUUACUUACCUUAAUCUAAUUAAGGUCAUAAUCGAAGUAAGCAAUAAUCUAAUUAAGACAGGUGGAGUACUCUUGUUUUAGUCGCAUUAUGGACGUGUAGUAGUGACAUGUAAACACCUUAAUCACAUUAUGAACGUCGUGUGAGAGUUUUCACCGCAAUUUGUGACAGGACACGAUCACACACGGCAGUUUUACAUUUAACGGCGAACAAGAGAGUUCGGCUGUGUCCCAAAUCGCAUACUUUCCUACUAUAGGUCUGUAGUGGGGAAAAAUACAUGUAUCUCGGCUACUAUAUAGACGGUAAGUACGCGAUUUGGGACGCACCCACCGCUUCAAGCAGUCGUCUAUUUGCACGUACAGCAUGACAAAUAAUUUACCGCACUUAAAGCGUUCGUUAAAAAAAAAAAAAAAAAAACCCAAACUGUAUACGGUACCAUAACGAAGACGAACUGUAUGUUGAUACGUGAAAUUCUGGAGGGACGUCGGACGGCGUGGCGCGGUGACGUAAUGACGCGGGCUGUUAAUCUAAUUAUGUUCUAUAACAUGUAAAGCGGGUACAUGACAGGAGCGUUAUAAAAGCGACUCAUGUAAACACCUUAAUCACAUUAUUAUCUUACUCAGAGUAAGGUCAAUAAUUAGAUUACUGCUGUCCAUGUAAACGUAGUCAUAGAUAUGGUGAAGGAUUCUGUAAGAAGUUGUUUAUUUAACGUGUAUGGAAGGAGUCUCCAGUGCCAGUGCUUUGUAACCGUCAGAUGUAACGCUCUAACUGUUCUGGCAUGUUUCUGGUGGUGUAAUAAUUCAUUUCUCGUAAUCAGUCGGCCAUCUUGGAAGCAGAAACAAACAAACAGGUGCGCGGAAGAUGGCGCAUGCGGUCGAAACCUCUUCUCCGUAACGCUCCGUUGAUGUGCGGAGGAUCCCUGGGAAAGACCGAUUUAAUAUGCAGCUGGAGUUUCAUCACACGAACAAACACAGUGUGAUCACCAUGAGCUGAAAACUGAUCUAGAAGAUAAACCGAGAGAUCAAUACUUCAGCGUCCUCUGCUCUCUGUCUCACCUGCCUGGUACGACAGAGAGAGAGAGAGAGACGAAGAGAACGCAUUGUAUAAGAGAAGGACACAGAGAGCGUGAGAUGUUCCAGAGAUGGACUGCAUGAGAGAAAGAGAGAACAGAGCGCUCCAGCUGGAGUGGGCUUUUCGGAGCUCGGGGCAGAGAGUGGCACUGUGCCAGCAGAAUCAAAGAGAGCUUUUCUUCCCAUUGAGGCCCCUGAGCAGAAAGGUCACCCCGCCUUUCUUAGUGCGCCGUGGGGGAGAAACCAAUAAACCAGUUCUGUGAGAGACGUCAGCUCAUUGCCGCGCAGGCCAUCUCAUCGCGCUUUAAUGGAAUGAAGGGGAAGCAGAGAUGGCCUUGUGCUUGGACGAGCUGUGCCGUGUAAACAUUUGGAUGCACUGUGAACUUGAGAUUAGCUUAUAAAUAAAUAUCCAGUGUUCUCCUAUCGAACCCGGGACGCUGUGUGCACUGUGGAGUGAACUGGGUUAAGGAUCAAAUCAGUUAAACAGAGACGAGUUAACCCUGUCCGACCAGAACGAUGGAAUUCCACGCUGUCUUUAGAGCGGCGCUGCUGCUUGGGGCUUUCAGUAAGACAGCUAGCUGCUGUCUGUUUACAAUUAAACUGACGUAACUGGACUACACAUCAAGCCACAGUUCGUCAGCGUUGAAGAUACUGUUCUAUCAUAGGAAAAUUUCAAAUAUAUAUAUUAAAUAUAUUAAAUAUAUUGUUUCCUCAUGCCUAGUGUAUUGUUCUUUGGUUUGAUAUAUUUCUGGGUUAUUUUAUACAUACAAAAGGUCAGCAUUUCAGCUUUCAUUUCCUCAUAUUUACAUCUUAAACAACUUUUGUCUCAGACCACCCAGUUUUUAUGCGAGCAAAAGUAUAGGAACAGAUAAGACUUGAAGUAAGUAGCCCCCCCGCUUGCAAUAACUACAUCAAGCCUGUCACCCAGUGACAUCACCAAAUUGUCGGUUUCUUCUUUUGUGCUGCGUUUCCAGGCUUUUACAGCAGCCACUUUCCGUUAUUGUUUGCUUUGACGGGUUUCUACAUUCAGUCUCCUCUUCAGGAGGUAAAAUGCUUCUCGACUGGGUUAACGCGUCUGGGCAUUUCUCUGUAAACUGGCAGACAGAACACUCCUGUAAACUUCUGAAUUCAUUCUGCUGCUACCAUCAUGAGCUCCAUCAUCAAUAAAGAUUAGUGAGAAUGUUCCAGAAGCAGCCAUGCAAGCCCAAGCCAUGACGCUACCUCCACCAUGUUUCACAUGGUGAUGAACUUCUGGAUCAUGAGUAGAUUCUGUCUUUUUCCAUCACCCUGAUAGAGGUUCGUCUCGGUUCCAGAACUUUUGUGGAUCAUCUCUUUAUUUCUUCGCGAAUUCCAGUCUGGCUUUCUGAUUCUUACUGCUGAUGUGCAAGUUCUGGUAUGCUGCUAGAUUUCCGCUCUCAGAGGCUUCUUGGAACGGUGGAUUGUGAUGCCUUCACCCGUGCCCUGUGGAGGUUGUUGGUGAGGUUACUGACUGUUGUUUUGGGGUUUUUCUUUCACGGUGCUUAUCGGCUUUUCGACAGGAAUAACUCAAUCUGAUGGGAUAUACUGCACCUACAUGUAACUUACACAAACGUUUCCAGGUCUUACAAAGGGCGUUAAAGGGUUAAUGAAAAGAGAAUGAAAUGAAACCAGAAUAAGCAUAUCAUUAAGCACACAAGAUACAUGCAAUCCUCUGUAAUGAAGAAGGCUGAGAAUCUGAAGCUCGGGAUUCACCCGGGGUUUGACUCCUGGCAGUGUAAUGAAUCCAAUUAAUCUGAUUCUGAAGGCAAAAUGUAAAUGUGUAGCAGAGAAACCGAAAAAAAAGGGUUUUAUAAGUACAAUAGUGUACAUUUUCAUGGGUAAUGUACAUAGGAGGUAAUAGAUGUUUCACCGAAAAUGUUUUGUGUAAAUCUGAGCAUCAUGUCGCUAAACCUCACCGUGUGCACGAAUGCUGGAGACGGAUCUGACCGCCUGGGACAGCCACAAUCGCUUGUUUCUGUCUUUCUGUCUGCUAGGCCACGCCCCGGAAAUUUCAACGUCGCAUUCCUAUUGGGCUUCGAUUUCUAAACACAGAUUCGCCCCGCUCGUUUACAACACUGGGUAUCUACCGAGUUUAUUUUCAUUCAUUCACUUCAAUACGAGCGUUAUCAGGAUCCGGGGUCUACCAUGGGAACACUGACCGCCACGAGGAAUACACGCUGGAGAGGACAGUGGUACUGUGCAGAGAAUCCAACACAUCCACACACACACA
ensembl:lncRNA